ACAAUACUAUUUUUUAUGUGUUAAGAUAAGCACUUAGGUGUUUCUCGCAUGCUAUGAACUCCUUCUAUGAGGUGUUCCAGAUGCUUGAACCGUGCCUUCUGACCUUGGCCAGCUCUCGCAGGAUGCAUCAUAUAUAUCGCUGAUCUUUUGAAUUCUCAGUCAGCGAAACAAUACAUUGACUUCUUUGCUUGUGGAAAUACAACGCUUCUACAGCUCCGAGUCCUGGUUUUUCCUGGCAGUUGGGUAAAAUGGCACCGCUCAGUUUUAUGCUGCUGCUUAUGUUGCUUAUGUUGCUUCAAUGCUAGUUUGAGUGCUAGAGCUUUGUCACGGCAGCGCUGAUCUGACACAGAAGGGCAGAUCUUUGAUGGAGUAUCGAUGAGGGGCUCCAGAUAGGUACGUAUGCCUAUUGAAGAUGUAAUUAUCUGACGCUUGACCCAAAGCGCCCGUCCAGCUAGGCACCUGCCGCGACACAACGACUAGCUCCUGGGCUGUGGCCGUGGACACGGUCGAACAAUCCUCGAUACGACAUCCCCUCCCAGUUCCAGGUGUAAACAUAGACAUCCUACUGUAACCAGCCUAAUUUCCAUCACAUCUCGCUAUUUCCACACUUCUAAGCAUAUCCAUCUUUGCCUUUGCUUUGCCACUGGUCUCUUUGCCAUGCCACUGGUCUCAGGCAUUGGACCAGCAGCGGAUCACUAUUGAACCCACGGCGCCAGAACCUCCCACCUUCGUAAUCAGUCUGUCAUUAAGUGGCUAGCAGCAGAGCCAAACCCUCACCAGACAGUCAUCACCCAUAUCCACUCUGUUAUAUUUUCAUGAUGCCCUUCACUGUACAG
rnacentral:lncRNA from 1 species